GCGGGCAUAGUUUAGUGGCAAAACCUCAGCCUUCCAAGCUGAUGAUGGGGGUUCGAUUCCCCCUGCCCGCU
rnacentral:tRNA from 1 species